UACGUAGGGGGCAAGCGUUGUCCGGAAUCAUUGGGCGUAAAGAGCGUGUAGGCGGCCCGAUAAGUCCGCUGUGAAAGUCCAGGGCUCAACCCUGGAAUGCCGGUGGAUACUGUCGGGCUAGAGUCCGGAAGAGGCGAGUGGAAUUCCUGGUGUAGCGGUGGAAUGCGCAGAUAUCAGGAGGAACACCGAUGGCGAAGGCAGCUCGCUGGGACGGUACUGACGCUGAGGCGCGAAAGCGUGGGGAGCAAACAGG
rnacentral:rRNA from 1 species